UGACUGCACUCUGAGUUCACCUACCUUGGACACACAAGGAAUUCGCAACCAAUAUUGAUCCCACAGCUCCAAUUAACAGAUGUUGGAACAUACUUGUCUUGUUUUAGGUAACAGUCAGUGGCUCUCACUCUCUCCUGGCUGAGGAGUGAAAAGUGUGAGUGAUUUUUUUUCAAUCAACUG